UGUGUGAACUGACGCGUAAGUCGCCCUUUUCUCUGCUAAUUUUAGUAUAAAACAAUAUAGUUCCCGUAUUUUACACUGGUUUAUUAUAGAAUAUUAAGAGACAGCAGGCGAUUUGCCGUCCUCGGGUUUACAGUUGUGUAGAAUGUCCCUGUUUGUUGUUUGCUGUUGUCGGUAUCGCUUCUCGGCCUUUUGGCUAAGAUCAAGUGUAGUAUCUGUUCUUAUCAGUUUAAUAUCUGAUACGUCCCCUACCCGGGGACCAUAUAUUAAAUUGAUUUUUGGAACAGGGAGAUGGAAUAGGGGCUUGCUCCGUCCACUCCACGCAUCGACCCGGUAUUGCAGUACUUCCGGGAACGGUGCACCCCUCUCUCUACUGUCAAAGAAAGAUACAGUCUGUGCAUCUGUCUGGCUGUGAUGUUCUCCAGUUCCAUGGAAGUUCGCGCUGUGCAGUUUGGUUGUGGAUUCCUGCAUUUGAGCUGUUUGUGAUCUCACUGACUUCACUGAAUGGUGUCUGUACUUUUACACAAAUCCUAAUUUAUCUCUGCCAUGAAAACCACACUCCCUACUCCGACUUUUGGCUGCAUUUUUAGAACCAAACUGUACCUGACAAACGCACAAUAAAGUCGUUUAUUUUCUGUAAACACACGUAGAGUUUAGUAAAUCUAAUCUGUCUUUAUUGGGCCAUCAGUCGAGGUCUCAUGAACUCCAAGGAAGCCUGAAUUAUAGCAUGUCAAAAGCAGAUUUAAAGGAUAAAUUAUAGUAUUUAUAGUAAGUAAACUAAAACCCAAAUCGUGGUCCUUGACACAACAAAAAGAUUUAUUUCGUGCGUGUGGCACCAGGUAUUUAAUCAGCGGCUCCAAAUUGUAAUAAUACUGUUAUUAAAUUAAAUAUAAUAAAUUAAAACAACAAUCACAAUUUGUAAUAGACGGACCUAUGUAUCCGGAACUAUGUAUCCAGACUCCCAUUACCGGUCGGACAGAAAUUUCCGCUCUCAUGCGUGUUUGUUCAUAGACUGUGGUUAUAUAGUCACUUGUAAUUGUAUAAAGUUCAAAGCUGCUUUUCUGCCCUGUCCCUUAUUUAUUCGCUAAAACAAUGAAUGGAAGUGAAAUGUCUUGUAGAGAAAGUGUUUUGUUUUGGCUGUAAGUCGCCGCCUGUCCUGUCCACACAGGGGGCGGGGCUAACUGUAGCGGGUCUUUAAAACAACCUUCAUGAAAUUGGUGAAAAUAUUUUACUGACUCUUACUGCUUGUAGCAAAGCGCUCUUUCUUCUGGACUGACUAUUGUUAUUUUAGUUUACAUGUUUGGAUUAAAAAAGCAGUUUCCUGAACACUGUGAAUCUUAUUACAUAUUCAGCAGCAGUGCAUCAUGGGAAAUAUUGUACUGUUUUGUUGCUAAGAAAAUAGACGACCACACGGCUUUAUGUGUAAUAAAGUAGUUGGCCCCGGGUGCAGUCACGCCAAAGCCUUCUGCGGUUUUGCCAUCCCUGUCUGCAGUCACGCCCACGGCUUCUACAGUUUUAUCAUCCCCGAUUGCAGUCAUGCCACCCCAACCCACUGACUCCCCAGUUGAGCUGGAGGGUUGGGUGCGUCUGUGGGGAAAAUCCUAGUGGCAUCCCAUCAGCCGACAUCUCCUGGGUGAAAAGCGAUGGAGAGAGAGAGAGGGCUCUUCACCCCCAUUCAGGUGUACCGUGAUAACACCGGUGCACUGAAGAGGCCGGCGGGUACUGAAGUCAGACCGGGUGUGGUUUCACUUUACAGAACUUCCAGGCUACAUUAGUGGUGCUGUACCAACCGCACACGUUUUCUUCCGGAGUCGCGUGUUUGUGUGGCGGCCAGUUGGGGUGUGGAGGUACUCAUUGAAGUGUCCCUGUGGUCAAGAGUGCGUGGGCAAAGGAAAGGACAUUUACCUUUAUAAGUUAUAAGGCUACCACCACGGGGUACUAUGCUAGUAUUCUAAUUAGAUUAGUUAUUUACAGUUGCAACAGAACAAUUCAAUGUUUUAUUAUGUAAAAACACUCAGACAGAUCAAAUAAAAUAAUGGACUGCUGUGUAACCAUGAGCAGCAUCCCAUAGAUUUUUGUUUGUUUGUUUGUUUGUUUGUUUGUCUAUGCAGGUUCUCUAUAUCUGUGAUGUAUCCAAUCUGGUAUACUAUGCUGACGGCGGUCUUGUGCUGUGUACCGUGCACCAAAGCAGCCAGAAGCGGGGAAGGUGGCAAGAUGUGUCGGUGGUUGGCAUGGGAUUCUGCUAUCAUGUGUCAACUUGGUGAAGCACACCAAGCCAUGUUCCCUGCUAUCCUGACAGACAAGCGUGGUGUGGACAAGAACGUGGUAAGACUUCUGUGGGACCGGACAGAACACACUUCAGACACACUUUUGAGGCUCCACCUCCUGCGAGAGAGCUGCUUCCUGCCCGUCUGCUCGGUCAUGCCUUCCUCCCGGCAGAGGCCAACAAUGUACGGGACUCCAAUUCUCUCCAAUUUUGGCACUGUGCUAAAAAUGAACUCCACUAAGAAGGAAAAUCUUAAAGGAUGGACCCAGUCCAGAGGAGGAGGUGGUUGAGCCUGGCCAGCCUGACCCAGAUGAGGAUGACAAGGCGUACCAGAGUGACACAGAGGCAACUGACGACGUGGUGGCUUCUGUCCCAGCCCACAUAACCUUACCACUGAUGAGACCACUAUAGCUUGCCCUCCAGCCUUUUAGGAGGAUUCUUGUAGUCCCAACCCGCUUCCAGGAUUCCAGCAGUUGGAAAGGUUCUGUUCUCUGCUGAUGGAGAUUGGCCUGACUGAGAACAAGUUGAGCAUAACUACAGAACAGAGGAACAAGCUCAUCGACACUUGGAAUGCCGUAGAAGAGCAUGACAAACAGCCACAAAAGUUUCAUCAUCUUUUCACCUUCAAAAAUGCACCAGCUCUGUGGGCUACGUGAAGUAUGUGGUUGACGAGCACAAAGCAGAACUCUCUAGCCCAAGUGGAAAAAAUUACUGGAUAAAAAACCAUCUCCUCAAAAGACAUACCUUCUGCACCAUGUCAGCCGUUGGUUGUCCCUCCACUUGACUACCCACAGACUGAGUAUGAACACAUUCCAAGCAAGGCAGGUACCAAGAUCUUGAAAGAAAGAACAGACAUUGUAAUGCCAGUUCCAAGGACUUCAACCCAGUGAGAACACCCUCACUUACCACUGCUGGUGAGAAGACCUGUUGGAACUGAAAGGAAAACUCUGGCCACUUCCACCAUCACCAAACCUCUGCCUACAAUCACUUCGACUACCACAACUGCACAAGUGAUUCCAGACACUUCCACCAAUGCAGGACCUGUGACAAUAUCCACCAGCCAAACUGACACAUCACACAGAGCCGGCACCCCUUCUCUCUGGGCCAGAGCUACACUGUACAAAAGAAAACAUACAGAGAACCUCACUCAUGUUGGAGCCAAGCUGUCAUGUGUACACAACUUGCCCAUUUGUAAACUUUGCAACCGACCAACUCAGGGGCACAAAAAAUACAAAAAGAAGACUUUUUGCCCUCUGAAAAUGAUGUCUACCUCAAAAGGAUUGGAAAACAAAGUGUACACGAGUUAUGAACAUUUCACCACGGUUGUAGACACACAGGAGUAAACUUGCAAUUGUUAGUGUGGACUUCUACUUGGACUACAGUGCUAGAACUAGUAUUGUGGCCUUUACUACUACUGUAGGAACGUUAAUGUGUCAUGAUGUUCCUUUUAAAAGGGUUACGCUGAUUUUAUUGAAUGCUGUAUUUGUUUUUCUUGUCUUAAAAUGUUCAUUUAUUUGAUCAAAGUCCGAUUUACAUGUGUGCGUUGAAUACUAUGUUCUUAUUUGAUUUUUUUUUUAUUGCUGUGAAGUGAUUAUCAUCACAGUGCCAGAUUUAUGGGUUUCUAUUGAAUAUUGUAUAAAAAAUUAUAUUCUUGUUCAGUAUUUUGUAUUAUUAUUCAAUAAAGCGAUCAUUUAAUUAUAUAAUCACAAAGAA